GACGAACGCUGGCGGCGCGCUUAACACAUGCAAGUCGAACGGAAAGGCCUGCUUUCCCUUGUGGAUUGCGGGUACUCGAGUGGCUAACGGGUGAGUAACACGUGAGUGAUCUGCCCCCAACUUUUGUAUAAGCCUGGGAAACUGUGUCUAAUUCCCGAUAGGACUGCAGGGUGGUGCCUUUGGUGGAAAACGAUUUUCUAGUGGUUGGGGAUGAGCUCGCGGCCUAUCAGCUUGUUGGUGGGGUAAUGGCCUACCAAGGCGGGGACGGGUAGCCGGCCUGAGAGGGUGGACGGGCACAGUGGGACAGAGAUACGGCCCAGACUCGUACGGGAGGCAGCAGUGGGGAAUAUUGGACAAGGGGCGGAAGCCUGAAGCAGCGACGCAGCGUGGGGGAUGACGGCAUUCGGGUUGUAAACUCCUUUCGACCGCGAGGAAGCCACCUGGUUGGAAGGGUGGUGACGGUAGUGGUAGAAGAAGCACCGGCUAACUACGUG
rnacentral:rRNA from 1 species